UCAGAAAAUUCGCAAUCAGGUUAUAUUUGUUAUAAUGAAACCAGUCAUUUUCAAAUAAAAUUCGUCAAAUUAUUUCUUGUCUCUUGUGAUUGAAUGCAAAAUAUAUAGGCUAUUGUAUUGGUUUUAAAAACGAUGAAACAUGAAUCAAUGGAGUAAGGCGCAACUGGAUGGAUCAGUGCUCUAUUUAUAAGAAAAUGUCUUUUGAUUUUUCCGUUGUGUUUAGCCUACAUUUUUUUUUUCAUUUUCAUUUAUUCAACUCAAAACAAAACAGAUACAAAAAUAAUCAUAUACAAUUUGUGAUAUAUUAUCCCUCUAGCUACAAGCUAUUUGAGGGAUUAAAAAAAUUAAAUUUAAUCAAUAAAUAUCGACAGUUCUUAUUGAUUUCUUAUUAUUAUUUUUCCACAAUAGAGUCCAAGUAGAAUGUUCAGUCAACUUUUCAUAUCGAUGUACACAUAAAUAUCGAUUUUCACUAUUAUUUAUUUUCCACUUCAAUUUGCAUCACAGGAAGAUAUUAGACCACUCUAUGUAACCAUUUAUUCAUAGCAAUCAAUUAACCAAAUAACUAUUCAUUCACUGCUCCUCUAGAUCUAGAAUGCAUUGCAUUUUUUUUUCACAACGUCCUAACCUCCAAAGCAACCUUAAACUUUAUUAUUUAUUAAUGAACGAUCUUAACGACAGAGAAAACGCAAAUAGACCAAAGGCAACCCCACGUGACCUCACUACCAACAUAACGGUUUAAAACUUCUACUGAUCAUUUUUUAGGUUAUGUUUAGCGGAAUUGUAAGGAUAUUAGCUUAUAUUUUAUCAACAAACUGAACAGUCAACAUGUUUAAGAUGUAACAAAGUACAGUAGAUACAAAAUUAUUCAUUACUUGGUAGGUUUAUUCUUAUAAAUAAGACCUUCUUUAGCAGAAGGCUAAUCAAACACAAAGACAUAACAUUGAUGAAUUCGUUUAAAACAGAAAGUUGAAACGGUUAAUAGUAUGAUUAGGCUAUUCAUCACUGUACCAGAGAAUAACAGGCUGAUUGAGCUAUGGUUGAAACUUGCUCUUGGGUUUAUCUUGCUAGUUUAUGGCUGGUGAUCACAGUAUCAAGUAUCUGCAGAGAGGACAUGCACAUAGUCACAACACACAACACAAGGAGGAGGAAUGACAUCAAUUUGUCUCAGGCCAGACUGACUCGAUCUCAUAAUAGCUUCCCUGUCCGUGCAUUUGAGAUUUACAACAGGAUGCCGGUGUAUUUCCGUGAACAGGAUAAAAAAUCUUCAAGAAGGCACUUCGUGAAAAGCUUGUGAGUCUGGCUCUCCACUUCCUGGAUGAAGAGUCAACCCAAUGUUUUCUGAGAUUUAUGACUGACCUCCCAUCUUUCUCAGUUUAGUUAUCAAGUAUAAGUUUUAUUUUUUAUGACGCAAUCUAUCCAGCAAGUGCUGAUCAUGGAUUGAGACUACUGAAUUACUGAAUGUCACAUGGGACGGUAGGUGAUGCGAAUUUCCACCAAACGUGUUCCAUUAUAUAGUUUUUUUUAAUUUCCUUGCCCUAUUACCAUAGGUAAGGAAAGUAUUGCUUUCAAAAAAAUUAAGGUACCUCAAUUUCCACAUUUCUAUACUUUUCAA